GAAGGCCUACGAAGAGAUGUUCAAAACAUCUCUCGCUUAUCAACUCAAUAUUCGUUUGUUGAGGGAGUAGUUUUGGGCUACAUCAAAAUCAUUUUAAUCUUAUUAAAAGAACUUGGGCCUAUCAUAACCAUUGGUCCAAGUUAAUAUGAAUUAGUAGUUUAUAAUACUCCCACUAUUUCGAAGAAACAAGCGAGACUAUAUGGAACUACUAACGAAUGCAUUGCAUCCUCUUAUGGACUAUAUAGUCAUAUUAGGUUUUAGGAUGAUUAUGAACUGUUUAAUUUGAUCCAACACGAGCCUUGUGUUGGACCUUGGGUUUAAGGUAGAUAGUUGUUGAUUUUAGUUACGCGUUUAAUCCAAUUAAACCGUUAUUUCCUAUUGGGCGUUGGACCCAACUAUUCCAUUUUGCAUACAAUUAAACAAAUAGGAAUACAUGAAAUAAUAAGAAGGGCUUAUGCCCUUUUACAACACAAAUGAUGGACUUAUGUCCAUUUACAACAAAUUGAAGUAAUCAAAUUACAUUCAAAUCUACACUACCAAACCCAAACAUUCAUAAUGUAAAGCGGCCAAUCACAUAGCUCAAUUAUCGAGGCCUUUGGUUCAUAAUCACCAUUUUCUUAAUCAAUCACAUUAACUAAGAAAGCAACUUAAACAAUUGGUUUUUGGAUCCAUAGAAUUGAUUUAAAUGGAACUAAAUGAAAUGAAAAUCCAAUUCUCAUUAAAGAGACAAAACAAUUUUGUUCUCAUUUUAUUUGGGCCAAAAGGAAACUAUGACCACAACAAUUGGGCCACAAUGCAAAAACACAAACUUUUGGGAUCACUUUGAAAAACACAAAAGUCCACAACUUCAUGUAAUUUCAACUAGAACCCAAAAUUUUAAUAAUGUAAAAACAUCAUUGAAGGAUCAAAACAAUUCGUCCUUUAGAGUUUUUGGGCCUUAACGUAAAAACGUAAACUUUUGGGCCAAAGUGCAAAUACACAAAAGUAUCAAAACUUUUAUGUAAUUGCAUAAUAGGCCCCAAAAGUACCCCCACUAGGGGGUGGCCGGUUUUUGGAGUGUGAAAGAGUGUGAAAGGGAUUUUAUGCAAGCGGUGCAUGCAUGUGCAAUAUGCAAGUGGAAUUGGUGGGUGAGGUUAAAGGUGAAUGGGAUGGGUUGUAAGAGAAAUGUUUUUGUGAAACAUUAAUAGCAUUAAUCAUCCUUCACCUAUAACCAUCACCCAUCAUAAAUAAACCAAAACUUUAUUUAAAACACCAAACACUUUGAAUCAAAAAACCAAACCUUUUUGUUCUUGGUUAGAAACUCAAGAACAUUGAAGAACACACAUGAAAACUCAUAAGAGCUCCAUGAAUGUUUUCACUCAUUAAAACUCAAAUUUUCACUACUCAAAAGAGGGCUAACAUCCUAGGGUACUUAGGGGUUCCAAAAGUCACCUUAAAACCAUUUUAACAAGACAAACAUGAACCCAAAAAAUCACCCUUCGGAUUUGGCCGAAUUUCCAAACAUUCAUGGCACCAAAUUUUAGUUCCAAUAUUCAUGCUUAAAUGAAAUACAUCUACAACAUUUGAGAUGCUAAAUUUUCUAGCAAAAUUUAUAUUCAAAGCAAGAACAAAGCUUGUAACAUUUACAACAUUUAAAUCACAAAUCAUGAAAAUCACAAAACCCAAAAGGAUUCACCAUAAACUAGGCCUAGGCUCUGAUACCACUUGAAGGAAAAAAUAUGUCCUAGCUACGAACAUGUAAGAACAUUUGAAUACAUAUGCAAACUAUUAACACUUUAAAGUAGGCAUGCAUUCAAAAACAAUUCAUAAAACCCAUGACUUUCAAAGCCUAGUAUAUGGUGAACCAAUAAACUCUUUAACAACAUUAAAGAGAAGGAAAGAUUUAGAGUUCCUUUACCCUUGAAGCUCAUCCUUGUUUACACAAGGGAUUCACCCAAGUGGAGGGCCUUCAAGUCACCUCCUUGCUCCUUGGAUCUUCCUUGUGAUUUUCCUCCUUUUAGUGCUCCUUUGCUUCUUUGAGGAUUUGAGGAUUAGUUCUCCAAAAAACAUCAAAAGCUUGAUGUCUCUAAGUCUCCACA
rnacentral:lncRNA from 1 species